rnacentral:tRNA from 1 species
GCACUGGUGGGUCAGUGGUAGAAUUCUUUCCUUUCACGUGGGAGCCCUGGGUUUGAUUCCUGGCCCGUGCG